rnacentral:tRNA from 1 species
GGAGAUAUAGCUUAGCGGUAGAGCACUUAUCUAUCAAGUGUGAGGUCCAAGGUUCAAUCCAUUGUACAUGCA